UACGGGGGGGGUAAGCGUUGUUCGGAAUUACUGGGCGUAAAGCGCGUGUAGGCGGUCCGGUAAGUCCGCUGUGAAAGUCGGGGGCUCAACCCUCGGAUGCCGGUGGAUACUGUCGGGCUUGAGUACGGAAGAGGCGAGUGGAAUUCCUGGUGUAGCGGUGAAAUGCGCAGAUAUCAGGAAGAACACCCGUGGCGAAGGCGGCUCUCUGGGACGGUACUGACGCUGAGACGCGAAAGCGUGGGGAGCGAACAGG
rnacentral:rRNA from 1 species